rnacentral:rRNA from 1 species
CAGCCGCCACGGUAAUACGGAGGGGGCUAGCGUUGUUCGGAAUUACUGGGCGUAAAGCGCACGUAGGCGGCUUGGUAAGUUAGAGGUGAAAGCCUGGAGCUCAACUCCAGAAUUGCCUUUAAGACUGCCGAGCUAGCAGGUGAGAGAGGUAAGUGGAAUUCCGAGUGUAGAGGUGAAAUUCGUAGAUAUUCGGAAGAACACUAGUGGCGAAGGCGGCUUACUGGCUCAUACUGGACGCUGAGGUGCGAAAGCGUGGGGAGCAAACAGGAUUAGAGACCCCGGUAGUCCCUGUCUCUUAUAA